CUCCGAAGCCCUAGAAGCUAUCUUGCUCGGUUGUAAGUCCAAGAACCGAAGAUAAAGGAAAAAGCUAAAGUAUAAGGAAGAAGGCGACAAGGAGGUGCUGUGACGGUGUGUGAUGUGUGGACUAUGGAGAGAUUCAGAAUUAGCUGACAAAAUUGUCAAGAGUUUUCUUUUAGUUCUCUUUUAAUGUUAUAUUGAAAUUGAGUUUAUUUCCGCAUUUGUAGUUUGAUACCUCCUAUUGUUGGAGUGAUAUGGUUGUUUGCCAUUGAUAGAGUAGUUUCAUAUUUUUA